GUAAUCGUGAGGUUAGGUCUGAAGGAAGUGUGUAGCAAAUGCAUGAGCCGAUGAACAAGAACCAAAUAGAGGCGUGAGUAUCGGUAGAGCUGGCGCGGAACAGCAAAUACCAUAUCCAUCAAGGAUACGAAGCGUAGAUUUGGCGGCUGUGUGCGGAAGUCGGUUGUAUUU
rfam:Candidatus Firestonebacteria bacterium RIFOXYC2_FTLL_39_67 rifoxyc2_full_scaffold_675, whole genome shotgun sequence.